rnacentral:lncRNA from 1 species
UGACAGGCUGGCACCUACACUCACCUGGCCACACUUACAUGGCAUCCAAGGACCCAAACUCUGGUUCUCACACUUGGGCCACGAAGCUUUAACGGCUGAACAAGCAUCUACCCCAGGCCUCAACUAAAAGGCAAUAUGGACAGGAAGCUGUGCUGUAGACAGCCGGGUUAAAGAAUGAAAAGACACGGAGAGAAACCCUCGUAGAAAGAGACAGAGUCCACAGCAUAGGGAGCAUGCAGAAGCUUGGCUGUGGCUGCAAGAGGGCCGAAGCAGGAGCAGCAGAUGGAGUCCAUCCACCGAGCUGUCUGCAUGUCUGGAAGGGGACUGUCCAUCCACCAGGCUGUCUGCAUGUCUGGAAGGGAGCUCCAGGGAUGUAACUUUCAUAGAUCAUCACAUGUGCUGGAGUGAACUUUUCAGUGAUGCAACAGCCUUUGAGUCACCCUGUUCCUCUCACCCACCACCCUGUAAUAACCUCAAUAAAGACACUGGUUCACUACAAUA